rnacentral:rRNA from 1 species
ACGGGUGAGUAACGCGUGGGAACCUGCCUUUUUCUGCGGGAUAACGGUUGGAAACGACCGCUAAUACCGCAUACGCCCUUCGGGGGAAAGGUCCGCCGGAGAAAGAGGGGCCCGCGUCUGAUUAGCUAGUUGGUAGGGUAAUGGCUUACCAAGGCGACGAUCAGUAGCUGGUCUGAGAGGAUGAUCAGUCACACUGGGACUGAGACACGGCCCAGACUCCUACGGGAGGCAGCAGUGGGGAAUAUUGGACAAUGGGGGCAACCCUGAUCCAGCAAUGCCGCGUGUGUGAUGAAGGCCUUAGGGUUGUAAAACACUUUCACUGGUGAAGAUGAUGACGGUAACCAGAGAAGAAGCCCCGGCUAACUUCGUGCCAGCCGCCGCGGUAAUA